rnacentral:misc_RNA from 1 species
GAUGAAGAACGCAGCGAAAUGCGAUACGUAAUGUGAAUUGCAGAAUUCAGCGAACCAUCGAAUCUUUGAACGCACAUUGCGCCCGCCAGUAUUCUGGCGGGCAUGCCUGUCCGAGCGUCAUUUCCCCCCUCACGCGCCCCGUUGCGCGCUGGUGUUGGGGCUCCUCCGCCUGGCGGAGGGCCCCGAAAGCGAGUGGCGGGCCCGGCUGGUUGGCUCCGAGCGCAGUACCGAACGCAAGUUCUCCCCUCGCUCAGACGCCCCGCCGGCGCCCUGCCGUCAAAACGCGCAUGACGUGCAACUCUUUUUACAAGGUUGACCUCGGAUCAGGUAGGACUACCCGCUGAACUUAAGCAUAUCAAUAAGCGGAGGA